GACGAGGAGUGAGGAUUGUAAAACUGUCAUUCACUCCGGACCUGUGAUAUUUAUGGUUAACAAUGGUGCUUAAAAAUUGUGCAAGAAACUUAAAACAAUCAUGCUGAAGGCAGUCAUCCUCAUUGGUGGACCACAAAAAGGCACCCGGUUCCGGCCGCUGUCGCUGCAAGUGCCCAAGCCGCUGUUCCCCGUGGCCGGCCGGCCGGUGAUCCAGCACCACAUCGAGGCGUGCGCGGCCGUGGCCGGGCUGCGCGAGGUGCUCAUCCUGGGCGCCUACCCUGCGCAGGAGCUGCAGCAGUUCGCUGCCGAGAUGGCCGCCCGGUACGGCGUGGCCGUGCGCUACCUGCAGGAGUACGCGGCGCUGGGCACCGCCGGCGGCCUCUACCAGUUCCGCGACCAGAUCCGCGCCGGCGGCCCGGACGCCUUCUUCGUGCUGAACGGGGACGUGUGUGGGGACUUCCGACUGGACCGGCUGCUGGCGUUCCACCGCGAGCGGCCAGCCGACGCGCUGCUCACCGUCAUGGCCACCGAGGCCACGCGCCAGCAGUCGGUCAACUUUGGCUGUAUCGCCGAGGACCGCGCCACCCACGCGGUGCUGCAUUACGCCGAGAAGCCCGAGACGUUCGUGUCGACGCUAAUUAACACGGGGAUCUACAUAUGCAGCAGCGAUAUUUUCCAGCAGAUCGGCACCGUGUUCAAACGGAAACAGGAGGAAAUUUACAGCGCCGAUUUCGAGGAGGGCCCUCCGUCGGAGACCAUCAGUCUGGAGGUGGACAUCCUGGCGCCGCUGGCCGGCUCCGGGAGGGUGUUUGUCUACCAGACGUCGCGCUGGUGGAGUCAGAUAAAGACGGCCUCGGCGGCGCUCUACAGUAACCGACACUACCUGAAACUCUACCGGGAGAACGGGGCCCCGCUGGCAGAGGACGGUAAGCCGUGCACCAUCAUUGGUGACGUGUGGAUCCACCCGACAGCCACCAUCCACCCGACUGCCGUGCUGGGCCCCAACGUCAGUGUCGGCCGGAACGCCGAGGUGGGCGAGGGGGUGCGCGUGCGAGAGUCGAUCGUGCUCGGCGGCGCGCGCAUCCGCGAACACUCCCUGGUCCUGCACUCUAUCCUCGGCUGGGACAGCGUGGUCGGGGCCUGGUCACGCAUCGAGGGCACCCCGUGCGACCCGGACCCGAACAAGCCGUUCGCCAAGAUGGAUAAUGUGCCGCUGUUCAACGGGGACGGCAAAUUGAACCCCUCCAUCACCAUACUCGGGUGUAACGUGAACGUUGCCUCUGAGAAGAUCGUCCUCAACUGCAUCAUCCUGCCGCACAAGGACCUGGUGCGCAGCUACAAGAACGAGAUCCUCCUCUAGCCGCCACGCGGACCUGUCGGCGGCUCGAGGCUCCGAGGGGGACCCGGCUCCGAGGGAAACCCGUUAGUGUUGGUGGGGAACAGGGUGUGAUACGAACUGCUACAAUACAGCCGGUGCCGCGGCCUCAUGAGCGACUAGUGAACGAAUGGGAUGUUGGUGCCGGCAAGGCAAAAACUGAUUGUGGCGAGGUUGUGAUGCUGAUUCGCGAUUUAGUUUUUUCAUAAGACAAAGGCUCACAAUCACCACAGACAGGACGUAAAAGACAUGCCGCGUGCCAUUGGAUGGGUGGUGGUGCGACGCGGUAGCUGUUCUGGCCGCAAUUUUCGCGGCGUGAAUGGGCAUCUAGCCGUCCAGUCGGCUCUUGAAUUUCUUCGUACUAAGAGAAGUGGUAUACUGUGAGGAGUCAACCCUAAGCCGUGAUCUGUCCUGAGCUCCAUAGAGUAAUGUGUCGACCGAGUCAGUUGGACUUGGAGUCGGAGCAGGGGGUAAACGAUGCAUGAAUUUACGGGAGACUUCGGGAUUUGAGUUUGUUCGAUGGCCUGAGAUCAAGUGGCUGGACGUCCUUUUUGUAGACACGGAGUUGAUAGUGAGGGUUGUAAGCCGUGUGGCGCACAGUGUGGCGAAGUAUGCCGUCCAUCCGGGGGUGGGGAACAGUGGUGACCCUAGGGAGAGGGGAAGCUGCAGAGGGUUAUGCGGGACAAGUGUGGAACUAUGGCUGCUGUUUCUCGGUGUUAAGUGCUGGUGCUUGGUGGCUGGUGGCUCCUCAGUGCUCUCAUUUUACCUAUAUAUUUCGCCGGCGGUUUGGCCGGCUGUAUCAUCGUCAUUCAUCUCACAGUGCAAUGAUGAGUUGUGCCUGAAUACAGAGUGUGCUGGUAAGAUA
rnacentral:misc_RNA from 1 species